rnacentral:piRNA from 1 species
UGCAGUCUUCCUGGGAUAAGGUC